CGGCUCUCGGGGAGGCUGCUCAGACCGCCGAGUCCACAGCAGCUACAACCGUGGUGUUCUUGAUUUUAUUCUGCAGAGUGAGCUCUCCACGUUUGCUUUCUGGAGGACCCAGGUGACCGCUCACCUCCCCUUCCUCCUGGAGCCCUGAAGUCGGAGGCCCUGAGCCAUGGACGGUAUCUGAGGAUCGGUUUAGCGUAUCUGGCCGGAGAAAUUGGCAACAUUUGCUACGAAUAAAACCCAAGCGUUUCCAGCAGCCAUUUUGAAUUAAGUUUCCCACCCGACAAGCCCUCGUCCCCUCCACUGCACAUCCAGGAUCCGGUGGAGGAGAAAGGCGCCGGGCGGAGAGUUGGGGAGGGCUGGUUCCUGCGGGUUCCUCCUAGGCGGCCGCGCGAAGCCCAGGCUCGGGGGAUCUCGGUGGCAGGCGCUCAGCUAACUUGGGGAAAGGACGUCCAUGGCCGUGGGGCCGACUGUCAACGGGCUGCACCUAGGGAUCCCAACCCCAAGGCCCUCGGAGAGCCGGGAGGCUCCUCCUCAGCUCCACGCACAUUCCCCUCCCUUCGCUGAUAGCCCCCACCGCCCCCCAAAGAAAGUUCCUUCAAAUGUUCCUGCAGUAGAGCCUUUCAUUUUGUCUCUGCGAAGUGGCAAAGCAGCUAGUAUUGCGAGGGGCCUAGAUGUCGCUUGUCUCAGCCCAUAAAAAAGAAAAAAAAAA